UGGUAUAUCCAUCACAGCCGCAAUUUCCAUCUUUGUCUUCUGCUCCUACAUGUGAGAUUUCCCCAUUUCCCAGGUUGGUCUCCUCCGGCUAUUGUUUUUAUUGUUCUACAUAUUUUUGGGUAAUACAUCAUGAUAUUGAUUGGGUCUGUUGUUUUGUUGAAAUUCAAGACCGAGAAUGCAAAGAAAAGCAAGGCGGCAAGGAGCAACUUAUAGCUAGAAACGAAGGAAAUGGAGGUAAUUGAUAUCUAAAGAGACACUGUCUAAUGGUGUUUGAUGUAAUCUGUCAAAUUGUCCUGAUAAUGAAUAGUUGGGAUGCAUAUGGAGUUGUGGGUGUGCAUGGUAUAUUUGGUUAUAUUGCAGAGAUGCAAUCUGUGGUAUGUCAAGCAUCGGUAUGCAGUGUAUGUAGUGAUUGUUGAUUCUGCAGUGGGCUGGCAAAAGUUUGUGCUUUUGUUUCAUUUCUUCUGGUUUAUUAGUUGUCCACUUCAUUUCCAGCUUGUUCCGAAUAGAGGGGAUUGAGGGAUAUUUAUGUACCUGUUUCUUUUAGGAUUAGUUCUAGACAAGAUGUCACUAGGACUCGAUUUAGCAGAUAUGCUUUCGAAAUAAUAUGGACCUAUAAUAAUGCGUAUUCCCUAGACCAUAGGUAAGUCUGUCAGUAGUUAAGUUGAGCAUGUAAUUAUUUCCAAAGCCAUUUUAAAGACUGGUAUAGUAUGGAGAUAGAGAUCUAUAUCUUUUGAUUAUAUGUGUGAUUUGUUGCUCCAACAAAUUAAUUGGAUGCCCUGUCUAUGAUGUUCUAGUAGUUGUGGACCAGUAGGUUUUGAACAAGUGAAGCAACACAGUACAACAACAACUAAUUAGCAAUUUUGUAGUUUCCAAUAUAUGAAACUUUGGAUUUAGUACAUUAUUAGGAAAAUAACUUAAGUCUAUGUCUUAUUUGUGGUAGGGCUCAAGUUUGAACAAUAACUAGUUCUUGUAAGGCAACGUUGUUCUACAUUUAAGCUCACCUUCAUGUAUGUGUCAAUAUCCGUAUCAGGAACAAUAACUGAGUUCGUAUCUUGAUAAGCAUCAUUGUUACAUUCUUAUAUUUAAUAGUAUAGAGACAUUUAUACAUGCUGAUUAAGAUCAUUUGUACAUUUCAGGUUAACACCUACAAUAUCUACCACAUGAGCUUCUUUUGUGGGAACGGGUGAUGCCUUGAAAGCACUAAGGAAAGCCAGGAAAGUGCAUAUAUUGGUUAUUCAUUGAGUUCUUGGAAGCUUUGUAAGACCGAGGCAUCACAGAAUAAGCAGUCUUUUGUUGGUGAUGGCCUUAAAAGCGACUCGAAAAAACUGAUACAACUUCAUAGCUGAUUCUUUGCCAAUUAGACUCUAUCAAACUGGUGAGAAGUAACAUAUCAAAUUUUUGUUUAUUUGAUAGCUCAGGUUGGACUUUCCACUGGUUUUUUGUAUUGUAGAUCAUUGGUUGAGUUCUUAUUUAUUAUUUUGUGCUUUUUCCUUCUAAAUUGAGUAGUAAAGUAACACAGGAGGUUUAGCGUAAGAGGUUUUAAUAUGUUGUUUAGCUUAGAGGACAUUUAGUAUUGCUUGUUAAUGCUUCUAUGAGCAAAAAAUACUUUUGUGGAUUUUCUCUGGAAGUUUGUGUUGAGUUGGCAUGGAAUCAUUAUGUCGUACUUGGGAAUGAUCAAAUUUUGGCUUUCAUCUGUUGUAGCUGGCAUUUACGCCAUUUCCCCCCAGCUUAUGAUCAGUGGGCUGGAUAUUGUAAUUUGGUUGAAUAGAACCUAUUUUUGAUGAACACCAAUUGAUUUAGUUGUCAUGCAAUCUUGAUUUGGUUGAGUAGAACCUAUUUUUGAUGAACACCAAUUGAUUUAGUUGGCAUGCAAUCUUGACCACAGACGAAGCAGUGCACCAUAAACAUUUAUAGUGUUAAGCAAAAAUGACAUGUAAGGCAAUACUGUUCUUUUGGGCUAAAGGAUUAGUGUCAAAUUCAUUCUGUCUCCCUAAAAUCUGUGAUUUGGCUAAAGAUACCUGAACCUUUAUUUACUGUAAAAUUCUGUAAAAUAUGGGUGGUUGAUGUAAUUUUCAUGUAGCACGGGGCAGCUGUGUUGUAUUGAAUUUCAGCAGGACUUAGUAACUCCUAUUGAUUUGAAAUUUUGUGACGUUGUACUUCCAGGUGUGUUGUUAAUCUGGAAAUUUUGUGUUAUUUGAUAUUUAGAAGGUGAUUUUCUUAAGCUCACAGUUCCGUGCUGAAAAACUCGUGUUAUAUGCGUUGCAGCUGUUUCCAUUAUGCAUUUCAUUAGGAUUUAUGAUUCCGUUUGACUUGAAAUUUUGUGUUUGGAAUUCCAUGUGUACUACUGAUCAGAUAUAUGUGCAUGUCUCAAACUAUAGACACCAGUGA
rnacentral:lncRNA from 1 species